UACGGGGGGGGCGAGCGUUGUUCGGAAUCACUGGGCGUAAAGGGCGCGUAGGCGGCCCGCACAAGUCUGCGGUGAAAACCCCCGGCUUAACCGGGGGCCGGCCGUGGAAACUGUCGGGCUGGAGGCUGGGAGAGGGCAGCGGAAGUCCCGGUGUAGCGGUGAAAUGCGUAGAGAUCGGGAGGAACACCGGCGGCGAAGGCGGCUGCCUGGACCAGUCCUGACGCUGAGGCGCGAAAGCUAGGGAGCAAC
rnacentral:rRNA from 1 species